CCUAGGAGGAGCACCACCAGCUCAGGUUCGUCACUUGCUCCUCCCCUUCUAUUCUCUUCUUCUUCUCCAUCUAUGCAUCUGGUCCAUGCGAUUUUUUGCAGGUUGCUCCGAUCUGGCUAUGUGAAGGGGAACAAGCAAUGCCGAUCUACUGUUGCUGCUCUGCUCCCCUUGAACAAUCUGGUGAAGGACUAGUUGAAUACAAUCUGGAGAAUAUAGUAUUCAUCAUGUGGUAGUAUCAAGCAUAAUCAAGUAAUACACACAACUAGUGAGAGACGGUCGUCCUAGUGAUUUAUGACAUACUACUACAAUUUGCACAAGUCUGGUAGUCAUAUGAACCGUGAUGAGAAGUAGUACUCGUUCACUAGAGAGCUAUAAAUAUAAG
rnacentral:lncRNA from 1 species